rnacentral:lncRNA from 1 species
ACGUUUUAUACUGGUUGGGAUCCAAAAAUGGAUCUAACGUCCAAUCCCCUUGGGUUGCAAGGGUGUUCUCUUCUAUACUUUGUAACCUUUGAUGUGAGUACAAAGGCGAGUGUAAUUUUUCACUAUUAAAACUCAGAUUGUUUUCACUCUCUGUUUUCUUUUGAUACAAAGCCUUGCCAACAAUAUUUUUCUCUCUUCUCUUUUUUGUUUACACAGUAGAACUAGGUAAUACAAUUCUUGUUAAAAGUAGAGUAGAGAAUGUGAGAUGAUUCAAACUCGUUGUAUAUCUCUCCAAUGGUAGACGAUUUCUCUUUUAUAGUGCUUGAGACUUGAAUCUUUCCUUCGAAGAGAAGGCAACCCAAGAGAUUCGAUCCUUGAAAAAGAAGGCAGGGGUUCCUUAUUUUCCAAGAAUAAGGUCAAGGAAAAUCUUCAGUUUCCUUCUAUAUUUGGCCUUGAUUGACUUCUGAUCUCAGCUUCCUUGAUUGAGAUAUUGCCGUUGAAUUUUCCUUCCUUGAUUGUCUUUGUAUUUGCUUCCUAACUUGAUUUAUUGUUUUAGAUCAAUUUAGCCUUUGUGUCUUCUUCCUUGAUUGACGAACUUUUAUUGGUAAUCUUCAGUUUGUCCGUUUGUAUGCUUGAUUGAAUCUUUUCUGAUGUUUGUGAGAUCUCCAACUCCAUGAUAUCUGGAAUACUUAUAUUCCAAGUUUCAUUCUUGGUUCUUUCCUCUUUUGAUGUUGUGUUUUGACCUGUAAGAGUUAAUUGUUUAUCAUUAAAAUCUUGUUUUAAUAGUCUGCAUUACUCCCUUUGCUGUUAGAUUCUUUGACAGUAACAUUGGAAGGGUAAAAUUUAUUUACUAGUCUACCUAGUUUUACAUUUCCUAUUGAAAUUCUAAUAGUCUUGUUGUUAUCUAAACCUCUGGCUCUCCAAUUCAAUUUUUUUUGGUAAAUAUCUUUAGUUCAUGAAUAGUUUUUGAAAAUCACUUUUUUGUGGGUUUUUCGGAAACAACCUCUCUACCCCUCAAGACGUAAGGGUAAGGUCUACGUACAACCCCCUCCCCCCCCCUAGACCCCACUACUGGGAUCACACCGGGUAUGUUGUUGUUGUAUAUGUAGUUCAUAAACAAAGAAUGGUAGGUUGAUUAUGCAAUGCAUUUGAUUUCUCUUAUUGUGAGUCCAAUAUCAUAGGUAGGGGUGGGCAUAGUUGGGGAAAAUCCAAAUCUGUCUUAUUUUUUUUUUGGUUUGAAUUUUAAGUACAGAUUGGAUUGCAGAUUCAGUUGUUUAAAUAUUAAGAUUUCGGAUUGGAUUUCAAAUUUGGGAAUUUGGAUUUUUGGAUAUCCGAAAAUCUGAAACUUUUAUACCUUAUUUUUAGCAUGAGCCUAUUAUCCAUAUGCUUAUUACUAAUAAGUCCAACACCCUACUUACUAGUUAUUAGUUCAUAUAUCCAACUGUAAGUUUUAUGUCCUGCCAGAAUACUUUUUGUUUCGACAUAAUUUUACUAUAUAACAACAUACCCAUUGUAGUCUCACGCAGUGGGGUCUGGAUAGGAUAGAGUAUACAUAGACCUUACCUCUACCUUAGAGGUGAGGUAGAGAAGCUCUUUCUGAUAGACCCUUGGCUCAAGACUUCAACAUAAUUAUACUAUGUUGUACUUAAUAUUUUCAACCCUUUAUUUACUCUUUUCUAUUGCAUUUCCUGGAUAAUAUGGUACCAUUGCUUGCAUAAUAUUUUAUUUGGAUGAUAGUGGUGGGAAUUACUAAGACAUUUGAAUGGAAUUAAGCUCUCAACUUAUAUGCUCAAAAAAUCAAAAUAUCCAAGCUGAUUAGUUUGAACCUGAACUGAAGAAAUUUGAUCUAAUCCAAGGUUGUUUGGAUUGGAUUUGAAUUGUACUCUUCAAUUCCAAAACCUAAAAUCCUUACUAAAAUUUUAUAUCCACUCCGAAUUAUUGGAACUUCCAACCUUAGUCACAAGACAACUUGGUAUAAAGCCAAAAAGUGUAUUGAAGUAUCAAAAUAUUUUGUCAAAAUCUCUUUAUAUUGUUGAUUUUAGAAAUUCUGUUUAUAUAAAGAUGUUUAAUUAGUAUAUUACCAAAAUAGAGCACAGUUAUAAGGGGUAAUUUUACAAAGAGUCUUAUAACUAAUUGCAGUUAAAUUCAAUUGAACAUACAAUACUCCAUUUUCGAAUUACUUUGAGGAGAGCCAAUUUUUUUUAAAGAUCUCAACAAUCGAUCUAAGAUCUCAGUGACCGAGUAAAGAUCUCGGCGAUCAAUCAAAGAUCUUGGAGAUCGAUCCUUUUCUCGAGUAAGCGCAUAGGAAGUUACGAAUUAAGCUUUGAUUCUUGGAUUCACGUUCUUCUUACCGUUGCUAGGAUUUAAUAUUGUGCUAAAUAUCUUUAAAAUAAAUGGAGUUCAAUUUUUUUUUGCAAAAAGAGAAGUGCAAGUGAUUCCAAGUCUUUUUAUUGUUGUCAAAGUCACACUUAGUGUGCUUAAGCCAUGAGACGAGGUUCAAAACGUGUUGAGCACUGCACCUUACUUUAUGUGCGCUUCAGUGUCGUCAUCAAAGUUAAAUAUCCCCCUAAUCUAAUUUUGCCAAACACACAAGUUAACGGUCAUGUUUAUAUAUCAUGACAACUAGUUUAUGUACAAAACUCGCAAAAUUAUAUUAGGGGGACAUUUAACUUAUUCAUUCUAUACAAAAAUAAUCAGUGUUAUCAAAGGCGAAAAGCUCAAAAAGUUCUAAGGUACGUUGGGGCUUUAUGCGUGAAGCGCAAAUGAAGUGUGGGUUUUAAUGAAAAAAGGUGCAAAGGGAGAAAAAUGCAAAUAUAUAUAUGUUUAGUCCAAGACUAAUAAUUAUAAACAUGAAUGCCAAAUAUAUGACCAAAGAAACUGAAAUAAAACACAUUUUGAUAAAAGUGAAAUAUAAAUUGUUUAGAGUCACCUCUUUAGAAGAGGCUCAUUGGCAAUGAAAAGAAUGCUUUAGAACUUUGAUGACGACACUGGAGUGCACAUAAUGUAAGUUGGAAUGCUCAACACGUUUUGAGCCUCGUCACAAGGCUUAAGCACACUUUAAGCGCCCCUUUGACAACACUAAAGAAGACUUAGAAUCACUUAGACUUCUCUUUUUGCAUAAAUUCAAACUGAAUUUUAUUUUAAAAAACUUUAGGACAAUAUUAAACCCUACCAACGAUAAGAACAUGAAUCCAUGAAUCAUAGCUUAAUUGGGAACUUCCUAUGCGCUUAUCCGAGAAAAGGAUUAAUCGCCAAGAUCUUUGAUCGAUCGCCGAGAUCUUUAAUCGAUCGCUAAGAUCUUUGAUUGAUCGUUGAGAUCUUUGGAAUUUUUUGGCUCUCCUAAAAGUAAUUAGAAAUGGUGUUUUGUAUAUUCAAUUGAAUUCAACUACAAUUAGCUAUACGACUCUUUGUAAAAUUACCUCUUUUAACCUUGCUUCUUUGGUAAUAUACUAAUUAAACAUCUUUAUAUAAACCAAAUUUCUAAGAUCAACAACAUAAAGAGAGUUUAACCAAAUAUUUUGAUACUUCAAUACACUUUUUGGCUAUAUACCAAGUUGUCUUGUGACUAAGGUUGGAAGUUCGAAUAGUUUGGAGUGGAUAUAAAAAUUUCAAUUAGGAUUUUAGGUUUUUCGAUUGAAGAAUACAAUUCAAAUCCAAUCCGAACAACCUUGGAUUGGAUCAAAUUUCUUCAGUUCAGUGUCAAACUAAUCAGCUUGGAUAUUUUGAUUUUUUGAGCCUAUACGUUGAGAGCUUAACUCCAGUUGCGCGACCGCGCACCGACUCGGAAAUUGUUUAAGUCCUCUCUUCUCUUCGCGUUUCAAGAGGGAUGUUUCUUUCCUUUCCUAAUUUCAUAACCCUAACCCAUCACUAUUAACUUCCCUGAAAAGUCAUAUUUUAGGAGAUUCGAUAAACUAGACAAACGUUUAGCCUUUUGUUCUCUAACACUUCAAGAAGAAAGAUCUAAGGUUAAUUCUCAAGGUCCCUUUCUUAAGUUCUUCAUCAAAAUGUGUGUUUGAACAUUCCUUACUUCAUUUUGGAAAUCUUACGGAAAAUAUCUUCAUCACGAACACUUGUACAUAAUUAACUAAAGCUCAUACUUCAUCACAAACUCUUAUAGGAAAUUCUCAUAGAUUGAGGCAUGUCAAAAGACAGUGUCCUUAAGGAUAUUUCAUCCGGUAUAGGUGUAUCCCUUGGAUUCAAGAAGCUCUUCUAGUAUAAACUAGGAGCCAGAAACUAACAAAGAUUCAAUUGAAAGAAAACCCAACAUAAGAAUAUAUUAAAAGAAGAAUUGUUCUCUUUUCUUAUGUCACACACUAUAAGUAUAAGACUUAGAUUUAUAUAGGAAAAUCACUAACCUCUCUAAUGUAUCAAUGAUUGAAAUAGUCAAAACCCAUAAAGGCAUUGAAUUCCAUCAAUAAAUUGAAAGCCAGUCAUUUCAUCAAAGAGUCGUUGGCAACAACCAUACUAUGACAAAACUUAAUGGAUAAUUAAAGGAUAUUAAUAAUGGCAAUAUGAUAUUAUCUAUGGAGAGAAAAUAUUUAGGACAUAAAAUAAUAUUUUCUUUCAAGUAUAAUAAGAAAUAAAAUAAUUCAUUUUGAGAUACUUGAAUCACUUUUCCAACAAUCCCCUACAUAUCUCAAAAGAAAUCUUGAUCUGUGACAAAUUAUUGUAGUUUUGAUGAUUGACAAAUAGUCUUGAUGUGUGACAAAGUAUUGUUUAUCAUCAUCAAAAAGGGGGAAAUUGUUGGGAUGUAGGAGAACAUAUAAUGUUUGGAAGUAGUAGAACAUAUAAGUAGUUUUGAUGAUUGAUAAAGUGAACCUGGUUCACUACUUGUUGUGUUUUGUGUACUCUAUCAGGUGAACCAGGUUCCCAGAUGCGAAUGCAGAUAAUCUAUACAAAUAUGUCAGAUUGCGGGAAAGAAGAAAAAUAAUAAAGUGCAGAAAUAAAAGAGUGAAAAAAGAAAUAAAGAAAUAGCCGAAACAAAGAAGGAAAGAAGGAAAGAAAUAACGAAAUAACAAUACAGGUCGAAUAAGGAAAAAAGUAAAUAUAAACAAGUUCUAGGCAGAAAAGGAAAGAGGCAGACGAGUUUAAUAAGGACAAUGAUUAGUUUUCUAGGGAAUGAAAUUCCUUUCCUUGAAGAAGUUGAUAAAGGAAAAACAAAUUCUAUAAAAGGUUCAAGCCAAUUAAAGAAAAACUCAUCUUUGAAUAAACAGAAUUUUGAGAGAAUUUUCUAGCAAAGGUAGAACGGUACCUAUUAUAUAUUCAUGACAUCAUCUUGAGAGCAAUAGCCAUUGGAGCAAAACUGCAAAGUCUUCAUUAUAGCAUCACUGGAACCAGGUUCAUGAGUUGUGUUCGAGUAUAAACUAUUUGAAUGUUGAAGUCUUAUCAAUUAAAGUCUAGGGUUAUUAUACUUUAUUGAUUUGUUCUAGGUUUAUUAUUGAAUUGUAAUAAUUCCUAGAUUUGUAACAAGAAGUAGGUUUGGCUUGGAGAAUAGAGUAGAGAGAGAGUGUUGAGAGAAUUGUAACAAGAAGUGGGCUUGACUUUUUGGGGGUAGAGUUAAGAGAGAGUUUUGAGAGAAUUGUAACAAGAAGUGAGAUUGUUUGGAGAGUUGAGUCUUCUAUUAUAGGUAAUUGUUGAAAAGUAAAAGGUACUAGAGUUUCCUUUUGACUGUUACGUUGUAAUACUGAAAAGAAUGUGAAUUUUGAAGUGAAUAAGAUUGUGGUAUGGUUUUUACCUUCCUUGAGGAAGGAAGGUUUCCACGAUAAAAUCUCUAUUUUAUUAUGUCGCGUUUUGUUUGGCUCAACAGAAGUACAAGAACCUGGUAAUUUUAUAGGGGUAAGGUUUCUUCACAAAUCAUAUAUUCAAAUGAUAUCUACAAGUAAACCCCCUUAAAAUGUGGAAUUUGAAAAUUUAAAAAGUAAGAUACGUUACUUCUCGUUGACGGUUAAUAUCUACAAGUUACUUAACACAGUCAAAGUUGCGCCCAAGUGCACACUCGGGGUCUCACAGGUGCACGACCACGCACAGUUCUGAUGGGAUUAUUUAGCCAAGGUCGAUUUUGGAAAUAUCAUUUUUUACCCCUUGACCUAUAUAAUUACUGAUAUUGUCCUUAUAAGUGUUCAAAGAACAUCCAAGGAGAAACGAUUAGGAGAAAACUUCAUAACUCUAUGAACCUAAAACCAGAGUUUGUAUUCAGAUUUGGUUGUAAUAUUUUCAAUCCUUAUAACUCUGCACGUCGCAGAUGACAAGAUACCAUAUGAGAAGUCUUUUUCAAUUUAUAUACCGUGCAAAUCAAUUUACGAUAUGAGAACUCAUUGUCUGAUUACGUUAGAACAUCAACAAUAACAAAAUAGCCAUUGGUGUACCAUUAACAUAGUACUCCCUCCAUCCUAAUCAUCAUCUAUCAUAUAUAAUCAUUAUUAUUAUAAGUAGGAAGCCUCAAAGAUAAAAGUUUGAAAGACCAAUUUACCCAUCAAAUAUCAAAUAUUGAACCACAUUAAUCAUUUAAUACCUAAACAAUUCUCUUAAAAAAAUAUGUAAAGUAACGGAGGAAACUUGCCUCAAAAAAGCGAUAUACCUCGAACUUCCAGAAGGAGUACCAUGGUUCAAUCCCAACAAAAAUUUCACCCAGAACUCAAAACACCUCCACUGGAUUCACAUCUAGAUAAAAGGAAAUGUUAGACACAAAGCAGGAGGGAGACACACAAAGACAAGGGGACUUACCUUUGCGAACUGAUAUAACUUUGCAUACCAAGAUGGAGAACGUUGUUCACCCAAAGAAGGAGAAAGAGCAAAGAAGCUGAGAGAGGAGAUGGAAACAUGGAAGCGGCGGAUAUUUGGAAACUGUGAAAAACAGAGAAUGCUUAAGAAAACCCUAUUUUUAGGGAGUGGAUAAGGACAAGAUCUCAAACACUUAGAUUGCCUUUAUUUCCUUAGCUUUUGAGUAGUGGGUUUU